GGCAAGGUGGGCGAGUGGUUUAAGGCGUCAGGUUUAGGCCCGGAUGCGCGAUUCGAAUCUCGUCCUGUCA